ACGCAUUUGAAAUCUCCAAAACAAAAAAUAAGUAAAUCCAAAUCCAAUUAACACAAAUAACCAUAUAUUAUCUUCUUUAUCUUCAUUUUCUUCUAUUUCAACUAUAUUAAAUUCUUCUCUAUUUCCAUUUCCCAUUAUACCCUCGAUUAAAUGACCAUAUAACACAUAUACCCUCUUCCUAUUUCCCACUACAACCGCCGUAGCAAAUCCUUCUACAUCAAGG
rnacentral:misc_RNA from 1 species